AAGACAAAGCUACUCACGGUAUAGGAAAGCCGGGGCGAGGAGAGCAACUGGGUCGCCUUCCUCCUGAUACCGGAAUUGUCAGGCCUAAUCUCCCAGCCAGGAACGGAUCCCAGGCUGCAGGGGCAGCGCUGAGCCCCGGCCACGAGACCCCCGCGGGUUGGCGUCUCACGAAGCCGCAGCAGGGACUUCGCAGACACUCAGGCGAGCAAGCGAGAAGAGGCGGGUUUGUUUAGAGAAAGAAAAAAUUUAUUGAGGAGAAAAAGAGCAGAAAUAAAGUGGGACUCCCGGGCCAGGAAACCAGGCCUGGGAGGGGCAAGGAAGCCAAAGUGGAGUCGGGUCUCAGGGAACACAGACCUUCUGUCCCUCAUUACUCUACAGCCCCACCCGGCUCUCUGUGAUGGAAUCUUUCUUUGGGCUGUCUGAGAUGGCUAAGAAGCAUUCUUUCUAGAGCCAGUAGAAAGCCUCAGAAGUGGCAAUAGUGGCAACACAG